GCAUGGACGAGUUCUGCAUUAUCUUAGUAGUAGUUAAUGCAGUCAGAGGUCAUGCAAAAGUAAAUUUCGCCCUCUAAAUUACUUGUGUCGUCUUGACUUAAGUGUUUUUGUGGGGUGAGUACAGGU